UACGUAGGUGGCAAGCGUUGUCCGGAUUUACUGGGCGUAAAGAGCGCGCAGGCGGUCGUUCAAGUCGCGUGUGAAAGACCCCGGCUCAACUGGGGAGGGUCACGCGAUACUGAUCGACUCGAAGGCAGGAGAGGGUAGUGGAAUUCCCGGUGUAGUGGUGAAAUGCGUAGAUAUCGGGAGGAACACCAGUGGCGAAGGCGACUACCUGGCCUGUUCUUGACGCUGAGGCGCGAAAGCUAGGGGAGCAAACGGG
rnacentral:rRNA from 1 species